rnacentral:rRNA from 1 species
AGAACGAACGCUGGCGGCGUGGAUAAGACAUGCAAGUCGGACGGGAUUUUUUUGGUAGCAAUACCGAAGGAAAUUCAGUGGCGAACGGGUGCUUAACACGUGAGCAAUCUGCCCUUAGCUUCGGGAUAGCUCCGGGAAACCGGAAUUAAUACCGAAUAUGACUACGGUUGACAUCAGCCAUGGUGGAAAGUUUUUCGGCUAGGGAUGAGCUCGCGGCCUAUCAGCUAGUUGGUGGGGUAACGGCCUACCAAGGCGACGACGGGUA